rnacentral:lncRNA from 1 species
GACAUUCUGUUACCUAGCAGGAAUCUAAUUCAAGUAUUUUUCUUCCUUAAGCAUCUGCAAAGCCAGUAUCUGGAAUUUCCUUGCCAGAUGAUACGCUUCUCACAUCCCUUUACAACUCCGAACUGAUUUUACGUGAAAAAGAAAUGCAUUUUUUUCUUAAAAGGCACUUACAGCUGUAUUCGUCCUCUUGUAUUGAUGAAUUCCCAAAAGAACUUUUUCUAGGAUUGGAAAAACCACAUCUUGCAGAGAGAGUCCUAUAUGACACAAUAGCCAAGAUAUAUCAUGACAGUUCCCUGCAGUCUAUCUUUUCUUCAAAACUUCUUUCCAGUACAUCUUCUGUGGACGUUACGUCAUCAGAAAUGGUAGUACCAACUGUAAACAAAGAACUUUGCUUUCAGUGGUACAUUCCUCCCCUGGAAAGACCUCCAAAGGAAGGAGAACCUAUGGUUUUAUUAUUGUGUGCAUACAACACAAAGCUCUUGAAGAGUUCAGAUAUUAAACUUUCCAGUUGGGGCAACAUAUUUGUUGACUCUUUCUGGAUUCCACUGAACAGGGUUAUUUCAGUUCAUGAGAAACUUUCUAAUCUUGCACAAAUAGCUGAACUAUCAUUGCCAGCAACUCCUGAAAAUACUGCAAAUGAGGAUAUAUAUAAAGUGGAUGAAACAGAAGAGAAACCAAUUGGUAAAGAUAUAGAAAACAUGAUUCUUGAAUGCUGCUCUGAAAUAUUAGCUCUGUUUUUGAGUGACAGAGAGCCAACACCAUUAACUGAGGUACCAUUUGAUAUCUCGCUGCCUUCUAUAUUCAAUCUUGAGAGACUUUUCGAUCUUGCUAAUGGCUGUAUUAUAUCAGGAGGAAGCCUUUUCAACUGGAUAGUGUCGAUUAUUUCAUGACCUUCCUUUCCAGGGGAUGAAUAAAACUGAGAAAUCAAUCAAAAGUGUGACAUCAGAUUGAAGAAUUUUUAAACAGUAUCUAUGAGCCUUUGGAAAUGUGGUGAGAAGAAAUGAUUAUGAUUCAAUAUACUGCUUCCACAGAAAGUUCCCAUUCAGACUUGGAUCUUACCCCAUCUGAUUACUUAUGAUGUAUGCAGAUACUCCAGAUAUUGUUUUGAGUUUUUGCUAUUAUUUACACUUUUGUAAGUUUCUUUAGUUUGCUUUUAUUUUGUCCAACUAAUCAAUUUUCUUAGUGUAUUGCUUCAACUUCCUGAUUCUCUCCUGUGUUUUGAAAAGAAUAAACAUUUGACUAAAUUAAAACUACAUUCUGA